CUAUGGAGAAUUGUCUUUACAGACAACAAUGUAUAGAAAUUUAACCUUGAUUUAAUACGGAUUAUUAAAGUUCGAGUUCUAUUUAGUUUUCAGAGAUUGUUUUAAUUUCUGAAAAAACACAUUUUCAAACAUUUUUAACAAAAUGUUUUCGAGUGUAAUUGUUCUUUAAAAACUAGAUAAGUAGACAUCAAAAUUAAUCAAAUUUUUUAUAAAUUAUCUUGCAAUAGGAUUAUUCUAAUAAAUUAA
rnacentral:misc_RNA from 1 species